rnacentral:rRNA from 1 species
CCUACGGGUGGCAGCAGUGGGGGAUAUUGCACAAUGGGGGAAACCCUGAUGCAGCGACGCCGCGUGUGGGAAGACGGUCCUCUGGAUUGUAAACCACUGUCCCCAGGGGCGAAGCUGACGGUACCUUGGGAGGAAGCUCCGGCUAACUACGUGCCAGCAGCCUCGGUAAUACGUAGGGAGCGAGCGUUGUCCGGAAUUACUGGGGGUAAAGGGAGCGUAGGCGGGGAUGCAAGGUGGGUGUCAAAACUACCGGCUCAACUGGUAGUCGCACUCAAAACUGCAGCGCUUGAGUGAAGUAGAGGCAGGCGGAAUUCCUAGUGUAGCGGUGAAAUGCGUAGAUAUUAGGAGGAACACCAGUGGCGAAGGCGGCCUGCUGGGCUUUUACUGACGCUGAGGCUCGAAAGUGUGGGGAGCAAACAGGAUUAGAUACCCCAGUAGUC